UGGCUCAGAUUGAACGCUGGCGGCAUGCUUUACACAUGCAAGUCGGACGGCAGCGGGGUAGUGCUUGCACUACUGCCGGCGAGUGGCGAACGGGUGAGUAACAUAUCGGAACGUACCGAGCAGUGGGGGAUAACUAAUCGAAAGAUUAGCUAAUACCGCAUAUAUUCUGAGGAAGAAAGCAGGGGACCUUCGGGCCUUGCGCUGUUUGAGCGGCCGAUAUCUGAUUAGCUGGUUGGUGGGGUAAAGGCCUACCAAGGCGACGAUCAGUAGCGGGUCUGAGAGGAUGAUCCGCCACACUGGGACUGAGACACGGCCCAGACUCCUACGGGAGGCAGCAGUGGGGAAUUUUGGACAAUGGGGGCAACCCUGAUCCAGCCAUGCCGCGUGUCUGAAGAAGGCCUUCGGGUUGUAAAGGACUUUUGUCCGGGAAGAAAAGCGCGAUGUUAAUACCAUUGCGUGCUGACGGUACCGGAAGAAUAAGCACCGGCUAACUACGUGCCAGCAGCCGCGGUAAUACGUAGGGUGCGAGCGUUAAUCGGAAUUACUGGGCGUAAAGCGGGCGCAGACGGUUACUUAAGCAGGAUGUGAAAUCCCCGGGCUCAACCUGGGAAUUGCGUUCUGAACUGGGUGGCUAGAGUGUGUCAGAGGGGGGUAGAAUUCCACGUGUAGCAGUGAAAUGCGUAGAGAUGUGGAGGAAUACCGAUGGCGAAGGCAGCCCCCUGGGAUGGCACUGACGUUCAUGCCCGAAAGCGUGGGUAGCAAACAGGAUUAGAUACCCU
rnacentral:rRNA from 1 species